UCCAGGACGGUGGAGGAGAUCGAGGACUUCCAUUCUGUGGGAUUUACGGAGCUAUCCUGGAGCUUAUCCUCCCCUCUGGAAGUAUUUUAGGAUUUUAUCAUCAAGAAGAUGUGGCGAUCAUCCACCAAGUACAAGAGUGUGAAAUUUCAAUAAAUAAUCGUAAAGGUUUAAGACAAAAGAUGGGGCAGGAUGAGCUCCCCGGCCACGGACAAAGGAUUCUGAGCAUCACCAAAAUCACCGGGCUUCGGCUUCUGCCGACUGCUCGUCGUGAAGAGAAUGUUUGGCAGUUUGCCCGCCAUCUUAGCAGCAAAACAUCAGCCCCUUCAGUUUAAAUUGCUGUUAAGGAACAAAAUGGAAACGCAAAGCAAAACAGAACAAAAACCUAGAUCACCUAGCCAGAAAAUUGCCUGUGACCCGAAUCCUGGAAACUUUAACAACUACAGCCAGCCCCCCUGCGCCUGCAGGCUCUAUGUCGAAGGCUUCCCAGACCUCAGUUUACCCAGCCUACAGCUCAAAUGUCAAAGCUCUUGGGCCCAAUAAACUCCUCCACAUCUUCAGUCCAGGUAGCAAGUGAUCGAUUUCCAUAAACUAAGGAAUGAGCAGGCUUGGUUUAAAUGUCUGUUGAAACAAAUUUUAUGACUGCUCCAGUGCUGUAUCAGAGAGCCCACUGAGCCUGUAAAACACGGCACCAGCUCCCCGGACGUGUCGGUUGAGGCAACCAGAGUCUUUCCCGGGGACAUUCCCUUUGUGAAUGUCUCACCCCAUAUUAACAACCAUCAAGCCCAAACCUGAUGGUGUAUUUUAAACAGAGGAACUGCUAUUGGGAGAAAUAAUAGUGGUCUUGUCUUAGAGGAGAAAAGAAGACGUAAGAUCACAAGAUGGAAAAAAUAAAGUAAAUGCGAUUUCAGAUUAGCCUAAAGGAGCUUCGAUCCAUAGGGCUUGACAUUUCACAGUGGCAAAAAGCUGCCGUUGUUUUUGCCUCAACAGGAUCCUUACCUGCCACAAAAAUGUAUCUGAAGGAAAGGCCCGGAAGACCAUCCAUUCCUUCUCAAGACAAAUCUGAAUAUGUCCUCAACAAUCAAAUGACGGGCUCCCUGGCAUCCAGCACUCCCGCCUCGCUGUGAGCACACGCUCAUUCAUUCACUCACUUGCCGCUUCGUGCUUCUGGAGAGCCGGUUCACACGUUCCCCGUGAAGACCUCUUCAUGCGCCAGGGAAAACACAGUCAUGAACAAGAUAGGUGAGGUCCCUCACUUGAAAGAAGCUGCCAUUCUCAUGGGGACAGACUGAAAACAAACAAAUGCAAAAGCAAAAAACAAAAAUCCGAUGGUGACGCGUGCCACUUGGAAAAUUAAAGUAAUGCGGUGCAAUA